CCUCCUGACCGCUUUGCACGUAGUGCACAAUGGCCGAGGUUACCUCCUUUAUCGAGUUCCUUACCUCUAGCUGCUGAUUCGUUGUCUGCUGUUGCUGCUGUUGUUGUUGCUGCUGCGGAGAAAAAUUUUGAUCUGUACAGUUUUAAAAAUCACGUAAUAUCGAUGAAGCACUUUUUUUUCAAUAACUUUCUAGGAAGGAAUGAACGAUGGUUAAAAUAAUCUUCUGAUAGUUAAUUAGAAGGAUGACCUUUGUUACGUGUAUCAAGAUCAAGGUCAAGCUUGACUCUCUUAAUUGAACGAUUCUAUAAAAAAAUUGUAUUAUGUUAAUCGAGGACAAUACUUGGAUAGUGGGAUUCAACUAUAUAGAUUCGGAUAACGGUCAAUUUGUCUCAGGUUAUAAAGGCCACGAGACACCAGAAGUAGAAUUUCUGCCAGAAUUUCUAAUUAUAGAGAAGUCGUUGCAUUUGCGUGAUGUCUGAGCAAAUUAAAAAUAAAUUGGACAAAGAGGAAAGCGAGGAUAAAGAUAAAGUAUAAUGACAACUUUUGAAAUAAGUUGAAGUGACAAUUGGACGAUAAUUGAAGAAAAAUCCAAGUGCUGGCAAAUAUGAAUACAAACCUUGUUGGCUGCUUGCAACUGGGGAAGAAUACCCUGAGCAAGACGUUCUGCCGG